AGUAGCCCUGCACGGGCGGAGUGCUGGCACAGGGCGAACUGGGCUGUGCAGAGGCCUGAUGGCUGCCGUGCGUAGAGCAGGCGUAGGGUAGCCUGGGCCUAGGAGACGUACUGGUGGCCAGAUGUACUGAGCAGGCAUACUCUUACCUGGCUGGAUGCCCACUCUAGCACGGCACUUGCGAGGGGCUGGAAUCGCUCGCACCGGACUGUGCGUGCGCAUGGGCGAGAUCGUGCACACUUCUGCAUUGACCGGCGCUCUUCUGAUCCGCUGCUUCCCAUAAUAAGCACGGGGAGUUGGCUCAGGUCUAUUGCCUGACCUAGCCACACUCCCCGUGUGCCCCCCCCAAAAAUUUUUUUAUUGGGGCUGCCUCCCGUACUUGCCAAUCGGCGCGUAUAAUGCCUCGUAACGGCACCGCUCCGCCUUGGCUGCCUCCAGCUCCUCCUUAGGGCGUCGGUAUUCCCCAGCCUGGUGCCAUGGUCCUGCCCCGUCCAAAAUUUCCUCCCAUUUCCACGACUCCAAAUCCCUCUGCUGCUCCUUCCUCCGCUGCUUGGUCCAUUGGUGGUGGGUAGUUCUGUCACGCUCGUCGUAAAGAUGAGCCCUGUAUUAAACUGUCACGUUCAUCGUAGGAAGGAGACCAAAGCGCAGUGUGGAUAUCGUUCCACAUCUUUUAUUUUAAUGUGAAACUUUGCAAGACAAACAAUAAACAAAACACAAACCGUGACGACAGAGGUGCAACAUGCACUAACUCAAAAUAAUCUCCCACAAAACACAGGUGGGAAAAACAACUACUUAAAUAUGAUCCCCAAUUGAAGACAACGAUGACCAGCUGCCUCGAAUUGGGAAUCAUACAAAAACCCCAACAUAGAAAAAAGAAACUAGAACACAACAUAGAAAAAAGAAACUAGAUAAAACCCCCCAGUCACGCCCUGACCUACUCUACCAUAGAAAAUAAGAGCUCUCUAUGGUCAGGACGUGACAUAAACACAGUUAUAAAACACAAAAUGAUAGCCUAAAUUACAAUGUCUACAAGAAAGCCCUAUUUUUAUUUUAUUUGGAUAGGCCUAAAUUAAACAUUCAAUUAUUUAAAGUGAUAGGCUAAAGAACUUUGGAGAAUUUAGAUAAUUUUGAAUAAACACAUGGAUUUCAAUAAACAAAUGAAUAAGACUGUUCUAUUCUCUUUUGAUUUAGUUCCUAUUGCAACUGGAUGACAUAUUGACUGACUGAAUGAAUGAUGAAUUAAAUGCUCAAAUAUGUUGGAAUGAUGAGUUGCAUGCAUCAUGCGCGCUCUGCACUUCAUUUGGCUAGUAGGCAUAUAGUCCUACAUUAGGGUAUAAUGGGUAUACAUCAGGGUAUACAACAGGGUAUAAUGGGUAUACAUCAGGGUAUAAUGGGUAUACAUCAGGGUACACAACAGGAUAUAAUAGGUAUACAUCAGGAUAUAAUAGGUAUACAUCAGGGUAUAAUGGGUAUACAUCAGGGUAUAAUGGGUAUACAUCAGGGUAUAAUGGGUAUACAUAAGGGUAUAAUGGGUAUACAUCAGGGUAUACAACAGGGUAUAAUGGGUAUACAACAGGGUAUACAUCAGGGUACACAACAAUAUAUAAUGGGUAUACAUCAGGGUAUACAUCAGGGUAUAAUGGGUAUACAUCAGGGUAUAAUGGGUAUACAACAGGGUAUACAACAGGGUAUAAUGGGUAUACAUCAGGGUAUAAUGGGUAUACAUCAGGGUACACAACAGGAUAUAAUAGGUAUACAUCAGGAUAUAAUAGGUAUACAUCAGGGUAUAAUGGGUAUACAUCAGGGUAUAAUGGGUAUACAUCAGGGUAUAAUGGGUAUACAUGAGGGUAUAAUGGGUAUACAUGAGGGUAUAAUGGGUAUACAUCAGGGUAUAAAUCAGGGUAUAAUGGGUAUAUAUCAGGGUAUAGUGGGUAUACAUCAGGGGAUACAUCAGGGUAUAAUGUGUAUACAUCAGAGUAUAAUGUGUAUACAUCAGGGUAUAAUGGGUAUACAUCAGGGUAUACAACAGGGUAUAUGACAGGGUAUAAUGGGGAUACAUCUGGGUAUACAUCAGGGUAUAAUGGGUAUACAUCAGGGUAUACAUCAGGGUAUAAUGGGUAUAUAUCAGGGUAUACAUCAGGGUAUAAUGGGUAUACAUCAGGGUAUAAUGGGUAUAUAUCAGGGUAUAGUGGGUAUACAUCAGGGUAUAAUGUGUAUACAUCCGAGUAUAAUGUGUAUACAUCAGGGUAUACAUCAGGGUAUACAACAGGGUAUAAUGGGUAUACAUCAGGGUAUAAAUCAGGGUAUAAUGGGUAAACAUCAGAGUAUACAACAGGGUAUAAUGGGUAUACAUAGGGAAUAGCCUAUACUGAGACUACCUAAUACCACUGCAACAGAGUUACUGUAAAAUGUGGGAAUAACUUUAUGUCAGGCUUUUAACCACUCCAACAGAAUAUGCUUUAGCAAGAUUUUG
rnacentral:lncRNA from 1 species